GUACCAUCAGCACCAAGUCUCAGCCGGGGAGCAGCGCCUCCUCCAGCUCUGGGGUGAAAAUGACCAGCUUCGCUGAGCAGAAGUUCAGGAAGCUGAAUCAUACUGAUGGGAAGAGUAGUGGGAGCAGUUCUCAGAAAACUACCCCGGAAGGCUCAGAGCUGAAUAUUCCUCACAUGGUUUCUUGGGCUCAAAUUCCAGAAGAAUCGGGUGUUGCCCAAGGCCGGGACACUACACAGCUGUUGGCGUCUGAAAUGGUGCAUCUUAGGAUGAGGCUAGAGGAAAAGAGACGUGCUAUAGAAGCCC
rnacentral:lncRNA from 1 species